rnacentral:rRNA from 1 species
AACGAACGCUGGCGGCAUGCCUAACACAUGCAAGUCGAACGAGACCUUCGGGUCUAGUGGCGCACGGGUGCGUAACGCGUGGGAACCUGCCUUUAGGUUCGGAAUAACUCAGAGAAAUUUGAGCUAAUACCGGAUGAUGUCUUCGGACCAAAGAUUUAUCGCCUUUAGAUGGGCCCGCGUUGGAUUAGCUAGUUGGGGGGGUAAAGGCCUACCAAGGCGACGAUCCAUAGCUGGUCUGAGAGGAUGAUCAGCCACACUGGGACUGAGACACGGCCCAGACUCCUACGGGAGGCAGCAGUGGGGAAUAUUGGACAAUGGGCGAAAGCCUGAUCCAGCAAUGCCGCGUGAGUGAUGAAGGCCUUAGGGUUGUAAAGCUCUUUUACCCGAGAUGAUAAUGACAGUAUCGGGAGAAUAAGCUCCGGCUAACUCCGUG